UCUUCUGGUUCCUCCCGCUGUUCUGAUCCCUUGGAUUCCCCCGGUGCUGCUCGGACCCACUCCUGCCCCAGCUUCCCACGGACACCCGUCUCCUCCACCGUGUGCUAGGCUGAGACCGCACUGCCCCCUCCCCGGUCAGGUUCCCAGCGCUUCGUGUGUGUUCCGGUUCCCUGGUCCCCGUUCGUGUGCCCCAGCGUCUGCUGUGGCAGAUUAGCUCUCGUCCUCCCUGUUGUUCCUUGAGAAUAAAACCCGUGAAAUCUAA